rnacentral:rRNA from 1 species
CCUACGGAGGCAGCAGUGGGGAAUUUUGGACAAUGGGGGCAACCCUGAUCCAGCAAUGCCGCGUGAGUGAAGAAGGCCUUCGGGUUGUAAAGCUCUUUUGUCAGGGAAGAAACAGCAGCUCUAACACAGACUGCGAAUGACGGUACCUGAAGAAUAAGCACCGGCUAACUACGUGCCAGCAGCCGCGGUAAUACGUAGGGUGCGAGCGUUAAUCGGAAUUACUGGGCGUAAAGCGUGCGCAGGCGGUUAUACAAGACAGGCGUGAAAUCCCCGGGCUUAACCUGGGAAUGGCGUCUGUGACUGUAUAGCUAGAGUGUGUCAGAGGGGGGUGGAAUUCCACGUGUAGCAGUGAAAUGCGUAGAUAUGUGGAGGAACACCAAUGGCGAAGGCAGCCCCCUGGGAUAACACUGACGCUCAUGCACGAAAGCGUGGGGAGCAAACAGGAUUAGAUACCCUGGUAGUCCACGCCCUAAACGAUGCUGACUAGUUGUUGGAAUUACAUUCUCAGUAACGUAGCUAACGCGUGAAGUACGAGCCGCCGUCGGGUUAGGUUACGGUCGCGAAGAAGUUAAAACGUUAAAAGGUUAAGUUAGUUACGGCGUUGAGACGAGCGACGGACGACGACGAGGGAGGAGG